AACGAACGCUGGCGGCAUGCCUAACACAUGCAAGUCGAACGAGACCUUCGUGUCUAGUGGCGCACGGGUGCGUAACGCGUGGUAACCUGCCCUUAGGUUCGGAAUAACUCCCCGAAAGGGGUGCUAAUACCGGAUAAUCUCUUCGGACCAAAGAUUUAUCGCCUUUGGCUGGGCCCGCGUUGGUUUAGCUGGUUGGUAGUGGAAAAGCCUACCAAGGCGACGAUCCAUAGCUGGUAUGAUAGGAUGCUCAGCCACACUGGGACUACGACACGGCCCAGCAUGCUACGGGAGGCAGCGGAGGGGAGUAUUGGACACUGAGCCCAAGCGUAGUACAGCCAUGCCGCGUGAGUGAUCCAGCCCUUAGGAAUGUAAAGCCGUUUUUGACGAGACGAUAAUGACAGUAAUGGGAGAAUAAGCUCCGGCUAACUACGUG
rnacentral:rRNA from 1 species